AAAUGCGCUAAUUAAUGUGAAUUGCAGAAUUCAGUGAAUCAUCGAGUCUUUGAACGCACAUUGCGCCCCCUGGUAUUCCGGGGGGCAUGCCUGUCCGAGCGUCAUUGCUGCCCUCAAGCACGGCUUGUGUGUUGGGUCGUCGUCCCCCCCGGGGGACGGGCCCGAAAGGCAGCGGCGGCACCGUGUCCGGUCCUCGAGCGUAUGGGGCUUUGUCACCCGCUCGAUUAGGGCCGGCCGGGCGCCAGCCGGCGUCUCCAACCUUAUUUUUCUCAGGUUGACCUCGGAUCAGGUAGGGAUACCCGCUGAACUUAAGC
rnacentral:misc_RNA from 1 species